UCUCAGAGAGUUUGAUCAUGGCUCAGGAUGAACGCUGGCGGCGUGCUUAACACAUGCAAGUCGAACGUGAUCCAUUAGCAAUAGUGGUGAAAGUGGCGAACGGGUGAGUAACACGUAGAUAACCUACCCUGAAGCGGGGGAUAACGAUUGGAAACGGUCGCUAAUACCGCAUGAGCCUAUUGAAGCGGGAGUGAGAUAGGGAAAAUUCAGGUGCUUUAGGCGGGGUCUGCGUCCGAUUAGCUAGUUGGUGAGGUAACGGCUCACCAAGGCGACGAUCGGUAGCUGGUCUGAGAGGACGAUCAGCCACACGGGAACUGAGACACGGUCCCGACUCCUACGGGGGGCAGCAGUGAGGAAUAUUGGGCAAUGGGCGGAAGCCUGACCAGCAACGCCGCGUGGAGGAUGAAGGCCUUCGGGUCGUAAACUCCUUUUGACGGGGAAGAGGAAGGACGGUACCCGUCGAAUAAGUCACGGCUAACUACGUG
rnacentral:rRNA from 1 species